rnacentral:tRNA from 1 species
GAGGGUACAGCUCAGUGGUAGAGUGUGUGCUUAGCAUGCAUGAGGUCCUGGGUUCAAUCCCCAGUACCUCCA